rfam:Massilia timonae CCTG 45783 genomic scaffold supercont1.1, whole genome shotgun sequence.
CCAGGUGUACGACCACCUGACACCUACUCGAACAUGCCAGCCUGGCAACGGGUUGGUUUGAAGCUUCGACGACGAUGUCCCCCGUUUAACACGGUGCAUUCCACACGCGAGUGAGGGUGCAGAAACUGCUAGCAGCAAUGCGGUGGAGGGG